rnacentral:siRNA from 1 species
GCAUUCACUGGUGUGAUGAUGUGU